rnacentral:rRNA from 1 species
AUUGAACGCUGGCGGCAGGCCUAACACAUGCAAGUCGAACGAGUGGCGGACGGGUGAGUAAUGUCUGGGAAACUGCCUGAUGGAGGGGGAUAACUACUGGAAACGGUAGCUAAUACCGCAUACCAUCGGAUGUGCCCAAAUGGGAUUAGCUAGUAGGUGGGGUAAAGGCUCACCUAGGAGACGGUCCCUAGCUGGUCUGAGAGGAAGAACAGCCAGAAUGGAACUGAGACACGGUCCAGACUCCUACGGGAGGCAGCAGGAGGGAAUAUUGCACAAUGGGCGGAAGCCUGAUGGAGCAAUGCCGCGUGUAUGAAGAAGGCCUUCGGGUUGUAAAGGACUUUCAGCGGGGAGGCGUUACCCGCAGAAGAAGCACCGGCUAACACCGUGCCAGCAGCCGCGGUAAUUC